GGCCGAUGAUGAGGGGAUUGUAAAUUGCACGUAUUAUCAGAAUCUUGAUGAUAUGUCAGAGUCCGUACCUCUGAGGCU